UAAGCUCUUGAAACUGGGAGACUUGAGUGCAGGAGAGGAGAGUGGAAUUCCUAGUGUAGCGGUGAAAUGCGUAGAUAGUAGGAGGAACACCAGUUGCGAAGGCGGCUCUCUGGACUGUAACUGACGCGGAGGCACGAAAGCGUGGGGAGCAAACAGGAUUAGAUACCCUGGUAGUCCACGCUGUAAACGAUGAGUACUAGGUGUC
rnacentral:rRNA from 1 species